CCUACGGGAGGCAGCAGUAGGGAAUCUUCCACAAUGGGCGAAAGCCUGAUGGAGCAACGCCGCGUGAGUGAUGAAGGCCUUCGGGUUGUAAAACUCUGUCAUUCGGGACGAACCGGAGUCUGAGGAAAUGCAGACUCUCUGACGGUACCGGAGGAGGAAGCCCCGGCUAACUACGUGCCAGCAGCCGCGGUAAUACGUAGGGGGCAAGCGUUGUCCGGAUUCACUGGGCGUAAAGCGCGCGCAGGCGGUGAUGUAAGUCUGAGGUGAAAACCCGAAGCUCAACUUCGGGACUGCCUUGGAUACUGCGUCACUUGAGGAUAGGAGAGGCAAGGGGAAUUCCACGUGUAGCGGUGAAAUGCGUAGAGAUGUGGAGGAACACCUGUGGCGAAGGCGCCUUGCUGGCCUAUUUCUGACGCUGAGGCGCGAAAGCGUGGGGAGCAAACAGGAUUAGAUACCCUGGUAGUCCACGCUGUAAACGAUGAGUGCUAGGUGUAGGUGGGCUCAUACCCAUCUGUGCCGAAGCUAACGCAUUAAGCACUCCGCCUGGGGAGUCGGUCGCAAGCUGAAACUCAAAUGAAUUGACGGCUUGAGGACGNGCGAGCGACACGAGGGAGAGG
rnacentral:rRNA from 1 species